rnacentral:rRNA from 1 species
CCUACGGGGCGCAGCAGUGAGGAAUAUUGGUCAAUGGGCGGGAGCCUGAACCAGCCAAGCCGCGUGAGGGAAGAAGGUACAGCGUAUCGUAAACCUCUUUUGUCAGGGAACAAAGGCGGGGACUAGUCCCCGGAUGAGGGUACCUGAAGAAAAAGCAUCGGCUAACUCCGUGCCAGCAGCCGCGGUAAUACGGGGGAUGCGAGGGUUAUCCGGAUUUAUUGGGGUUAAAGGGUGCGAAGGGGGCCGGUUAAGUCAGCGGGAAAAGCCCGGGGCUCAACCCCGGCGAGCCGUUGAAACUGGCUGGCUGGAGUUGGAGAGAGGUAGGCGGAAUGCGCGGUGUAGCGGUGAAAUGCUUAGAUAUCGCGCAGAACCCCGAUUGCGAAGGCAGCGUACCGGCUCCACACUGACGCUGAGGCACGAAAGCGUGGGUAUCGAACAGGAUUAGAUACCCCAGUAGUC